rnacentral:rRNA from 1 species
GAUGAACGCUAGCUACAGGCUUAACACAUGCAAGUCGAGGGACCGGCGCACGGGUGAGUAACACGUAUCCAACCCGCCCUUUACUCGGGGAUAGCCUUUCGACAGAACGAUUAAUACCCGAUAUAAAGGUUGGGGAUGCGUUGCAUUAGGUUGUUGGUGAGGUAACGGCUCACCAAGCCUUCGAUGGAUAGGGGUUCUGAGAGGAAGGGACCCCAGAAUGGAACUGAGAGACGGACCAAACUCCUACGGGAGGCAGCAGGGAGGAAUAUUGGGCAAUGGGCGCGAGCCUGAACCAGCCAAGUAGCGUGAAGGAUGAAGGCGUAUGGGUCGUAAGCUUCUUGUAUAUAAGAAUAUGUAUUAUAUGAAUAAGGAUCGGCUAACUCCGUGCCAGCAGCCGCGGUAAUAC